AUGCAAAAAGGAAAAUGGCUGUCUGGGGAGGCCUUACAAAUAGCUGUGAAAAGAAGAGAAGCGAAAAGCAAAGGAGAAAAGGAAAGAUAUAAGCAUCUGAAUGCAGAGUUCCAAAGAAGAGCAAGAAGAGAUAAGAAAGCCUUCUUCAGCCAUCAAUGCAAAGAAAUAGAGGGAAACAACAGAAUGGGAAAGACUAGAGAUCUCUUCAGGAAAAUUAGAGAAACCAAGGGAACAUUUCAUGCAAAGAUGGGCUCGAUAAAGGACAGAAAUGGCAUGGACCAAACAAAAGCAGAAGAUAUUACGAAGAGGUGGCAAGAAUACACAGAAGAACUGCACAAAAAGGAUUUUCACGACCCAGAUAAUCACGAUGGUGUGAUCACUCAUCUAGAGCCAGACAUCUUGGAAUGUGAAGGCAAGUGGGCCUUAGGAAGCAUCACUACGAACAAAGCUAGUGGAGGUGAUGGAAUUCCAGUAGAACUAUUUCAAAUCUUGAAAGGUGAUGCUGUGAAAGUGCUGCACUCAAUAUGCCAGCAAAUUUGGAAAACUCAGAAGUGGCCACAGGACUGGAAAAGGUCAGUUUUCAUUCCAAUCCCAAAGAAAGGCAAUGCAAAAGGAUGCUCAAACUACUGCACAAUUGCACUCAUCUCACACACUAGUAAAGUAGUGCUCAAAAUUCUACAAGCCAGGCUUCAGCAAUACGUGAACCGUGAACUCCCUGAUGUUCAAGCUGGUUUUAGAAAAGGCAGAGGAACCAGAGAUCAAAUUGCCAACAUCUGCUGGAUCAUGGAAAAAGCAAGAGAGUUCGAGAAAAACAUCUAUUUCUGCUUUAUUGGCUAUGCCAAAGCCUUUGACUGUGUGGGUCACAAGAAACUGUGGAAAAUUCUGAAAGAGAUGGGAAUACCAGACCACCUGACCUGCCUCUUGAGAAAUCUGUAUGCAGGCCAGGAAGCAACAUUAAGAACUGGACAUGGAACAACAGACUGGUUCCAAAUAGGAAAAGGAGUAUGUCAAGGCUGUAUACUGUCACCCUGCUUAUUUAACUUCUAUGCAGAGAACAUCAUAAGAAACGCUGGACUGGAAGAAACACAAGCUGGAAUCAAGAUUGCCAGGAGAAAUAUCAAUAACCUCAGAUAUGCAGAUGACACCACCCUUAUGGCAGAAAGUGAAGAGAAACUAAAAAGCCUCUUGAUGAAUGUAAAAGAGGAGAGUGAAAAAGUUGGCUUAAAGCUCAACAUUCAGAAAACGAAGAUCAUGGCUUCUGGUCCCAUCACUCCAUGGGAAAUAGAUGGGGAAACAGUGGAAACAGUGUCAGACUUUGUUUUUGGGGGCUCCAAAAUCACUGCAGAUGGUGAUUGCAGCCAUGAAAUUAAAAGACGCUUACUCCUUGGAAGAAAAGUUAUGACCAACCUAGAUAGCAUAUUCAAAACCAGAGACAUUACUUUGCCGACUAAUGUCCAUCUAGUCAAGGCUAUGGUUUUUCCAGUAGUCAUGUAUGGAUGUGAGAGUGGACUGUGA
rnacentral:lncRNA from 1 species